rnacentral:rRNA from 1 species
GAUGAACGCUGGCGGCGUGCCUAAUACAUGCAAGUCGAGCGAACGGACGAGAAGCUUGCUUCUCUGAUGUUAGCGGCUGACGGGUGUGUAACACGUGGAUAACCUACCUAUAAGACUGGGAUAACUUCGGGAAACCUGAGCUAAUACCGGAUAAUAUUUUGAACCGCAUGGUUCAAAAGUGAAAGACGUUCUUGCUGUCUCUUCUACAUUGAUCCUCGCUGCAUUAGCUAGUUGGUAAGGUAACGGCUUACCAAGGCAACGAUGCAUAGCCGACCUGAGAGGGGGAGCGGCAAAACUGGAACGGAGACAAGGAAAAGACAACUACGGGAGGAAGCAGAAGGGAAUAGGCGGCAAUGGGCGAAAGAAUGACGGAGCAACGCCGAGGGAGUGAUGAAGGUCUUAGGAUCGUAAAACUCUGUUAUUAGGGAAGAAAAUAUGUGUAAGUAAAUGUGAACAUCUUGACGGUAGCUAAUAAGAAAGCAACGGCUAACUACGUG